rnacentral:rRNA from 1 species
AUUGAACGCUGGCGGCAGGCUUAACACAUGCAAGUCGAACGAGUGGCGGACGGGUGAGUAAUGUUUGGGACUCUGCCUUAUGGAGGGGGAUAACGACGGGAAACUGUCGCUAAUACCGCAUACCAUAGGAUGAGCCCAGAUGGGAUUAGGUAGUUGGUGGGGUAAUGGCCCACCCAGGCGACGAUCUCUAGCUGGUCUGAGAGGAUGACCAGCCACACCGGGACUGAGAAACGGCCCGGACUCCUACGGGAGGCAGCAGUGGGGAAUAUUGCGCAAUGGGGGCAAGCCUGAGGCAGCCAUGCCGCGUGAAUGAAGAAGGCCUUCGGGUUGUAAAGUUCUUUCGGGGACGAGGCGUUAAUCACAGAAGAAGCACCGGCUAACUCCGUGCCAGCAGCCGCGGUAAUAC